rnacentral:rRNA from 1 species
CCUACGGGAGGCAGCAGUGAGGAAUAUUGGUCAAUGGACGAGAGUCUGAACCAGCCAAGUAGCGUGAAGGAUGACUGCCCUAUGGGUUGUAAACUUCUUUUAUAUGGGAAUAAAAUGUUCCACGUGUGGGAUUUUGUAUGUACCAUAUGAAUAAGGAUCGGCUAACUCCGUGCCAGCAGCCGCGGUAAUACGGAGGUUCCGAGCGUUAUCCGGAUUUAUUGGGUUUAAAGGGAGCGUAGGUGGAUUGUUAAGUCAGUUGUGAAAGUUUGCGGCUCAACCGUAAAAUUGCAGUUGAAACUGGCAGUCUUGAGUACAGUAGAGGUGGGCGGAAUUCGUGGUGUAGCGGUGAAAUGCUUAGAUAUCACGAAGAAUUCCGAUUGCGAAGGCAGUUCACUGGACUGCAACUGACACUGAGGCUCGAAAGUGUGGGUAUCAAACAGGAUUAGAUACCCUAGUAGUC